GAAGAAUGUACUAAUCCUUUCCGCAGGCAGUGAAUUUCUUCGUUUUUGUAUUCGAUAGGCGUUGCGUUCAGUGGCUAUGGUGGAAUAGUAAGACGCAAGCAAAACGAUUGAUCGAACUGUUGAUCCGAUCGAACACUCACCCGAGUCUUUGUAGAGCUUUCAUACAAAGGUGGUUGAUCGUCCUUCAAGUAAAUCAAAUGCCUGAGAGGCUUCGUGUUAUCGAGAUGCCCGGUAUCCAUAAUGCGAAGAAUCGUUAGGUACGCUUCAAUCUGCCUCUUUUCAUCUAAUUAUCAGUGUAAAAAAAUUCAACUUAGUUAUGAAAAUUGAUGCAUACACGUUCAUUAAGUGAUGAUAUGUAACAUUUUUGGUCUUACUAAUGUGGUGAUUGCAAAGGUCUAAUUGGUCUUUGAGAUGAUCAUGAAUAUUGCUGAUCUUGUGGGCCAAACUCGAUAACUCCCAAGCUUCUGUGGUCGUCGUAAUAUGCCUAAGUUAAAAAAAAAAAUGUUAUAUUCAUUGAUAAGUUGUAGUAAUGGAAGUAAUUUGUGUUUUUCUAUGAUGAGGGUAUUUAUGUCUUUUGCAUAGAAAAAAAAAAAGAGAAUUGAUAACAUACUCAUGGCCCAUUCCGAUAAGGUUGAUAAGUAUGGACGCACAAGCCACAAUGCUACGGAUAAUCCAAUAAACCGCAGUGGGAAUAUGAGCGGUGGCCGUCAUUAAUUCCGGUGUUUCGGGGGUGAUAUACUGACCGGGGAGCUCUUUAAAUUCAACAAUGCAACGUGUCAACUCAAGCAUGGCCUUAAUGAGGGUGGUGACAGCCUCAAACCUCGGUUUGAGAGCUUCACCACGCUCAAGCACGUCAGGUAGCUGCUUAAGGUGGGCCAGUGAUUUGGCGAGUGGGUUGGCAGUAUAAAGCUGUGCCACCAACCAAAACUCGCCAUAAUUCACUGCAAAAGCUGCUAAAGAAAUAACAGCUUUUGCAUCCCACUCGUAGUUGGAAAGCAUGUUGAAGAUCCCCGUAGUGCUUGCAUGCGCGUCUCCACCACCAAUACACUUGCAAGAAAUCUGUAACACAUUUCAAAUGUAAAAAAUCUAACACAAAAAAAUAGUUCUCAAAAAUUAAAAUGCAUUUUUUUUUACGGUUUUACCU